rnacentral:rRNA from 1 species
AUUGAACGCUAGCGGGAUGCUUUACACAUGCAAGUCGAACGAGUGGCGGACGGGUGAGUAAUAUAUCGGAACGUGCCCAGUAGCGGGGGAUAACUACUCGAAAGAGUGGCUAAUAGCGCAUACUGUAGGUGCGGCCGAUAUCGGAUUAGCUAGGUGGUGGGGUAAAGGCUGACCAAGGCAACGAUCCGUAGCUGGUUUGAGAGGACGACCAGCCACACUGGAACUGAGAACCGGCCCAGACUCCUCCGGGAGGCAGCAGUGGGGAAUUUUGGACAAUGGGGGAAACCCUGACCCAGCCAUCCCGGGUGGAUGAGAAGGCCUUCGGGUUGUAAAGUACUUUUUGCAGAGAAGCGGUAUCUGCAGAAUAAGCACCGGCUAACUACGUGCCAGCAGCCGCGGUAAUUC